rnacentral:rRNA from 1 species
UACGAAGGGGGCUAGCGUUGCUCGGAAUCACUGGGCGUAAAGGGUGCGUAGGCGGGUCUUUAAGUCAGGGGUGAAAUCCUGGAGCUCAACUCCAGAACUGCCUUUGAUACUGGUGAGCUUGAGUCCGGAAGAGGUGAGUGGAACUGCGAGUGUAGAGGUGAAAUUCGUAGAUAUUCGCAAGAACACCAGUGGCGAAGGCGGCUCACUGGUCCGGUACUGACGCUGAGGUGCGAAAGCGUGGGGAGCAAACAGG